GGGUGUAUAGCUCAGUUGGUAGAGCAACUGACUCUUAAUCAGUGGGUCCAGGGUUCGAGUCCCUGUGCGCCUACCA
rnacentral:tRNA from 1 species